rnacentral:rRNA from 1 species
AUUGAACGCUGGCGGCACGCUUAACACAUGCAAGUCGAACGGCAGCACGAAGUAGUUUACUAUUUUGGUGGCGAGUGGCGGACGGGUGAGUAACGCGUAGGAAUAUACCUUUAAGACUGGGAUAGCCUUGGGAAACUGAGGGUAAUACCGGAUAAGCUCUGAGGAGUGAAGCUGGGGACCUGUGAGGGCCUGGCGCUUAAAGAAUAGCCUGCGUCCGAUUAGCUAGUUGGUGGGGUAAAGGCCUACCAAGGCGACGAUCGGUAGCUGGUCUGAGAGGAUGGACAGCCACACUGGGAAUGAGACACGGCCCAGACUCCUACGGGAGGCAGCAGUGGGGAAUAUUGGACAAUGGGGGGAACCCUGAUUCAGCGAUGCCGCGUGUGUGAAGAAGGCCUGAGGGUUGUAAAGCACUUUCAGUGGGGAGGAGAUUUGAGGGGUUAAGAGCUGCUUAAUGAGACGUUACCCACAGAAGAAGCACCGGCUAACUCCGUGCCAGCCGCCGCCGUAA